AGGGUGCAGGGCGGAUGCCUUGGCACUAGGAGCCGAUGAAGGACGUGAUAAGCUGCGAUAAGCUUCGGGGAGUUGCACGUAAACUUUGAUCCGAAGAUUUCCGAAUGAGGAAACUCACUUAGAGUAAUGUCUAAGUAUCAUUAAGUGAAUACAUAGCUUAAUGAGGGGAACUCAGGGAACUGAAACAUCUAAGUACCUGAAGGAAGAGAAAGAAAUUCGAUUCCGUAAGUAGCGGCGAGCGAACGCGGAUUAGCCCAAACCAAUAAAGUUUUCUUUAUUGGGGUUGCGGACAUAUCAUAACGAAGAGGUAUCGUAAUUGAAGAGGUUUGGAAAGACCCACCACAGAAGGUAAUAGUCCUGUAUGUUAAACGAGAAGACUUCAGAUAUGAUCCAGAGUACCACGGGACACGUGAAACCCUGUGGGAAGCAGGAGGGACCACCCUCCAAGGCUAAAUACUACCUAGUGACCGAUAGCGUAUAGUACCGUGAGGGAAAGGUGAAAAGAACCCCGGGAGGGGAGUGAAAUAGAACCUGAAACCCUGCACUUACAAGCUGUGGAAGCACAUUUCUUGUGUGACCGCGUACUUUUUGUAGAACGGGCCAACGAGUUACGUUAAGUAGCAAGGUUAAGCACUUAAGGUGCGGAGCCGUAGCGAAAGCGAGUUUUAACUGAGCGUUCAGUUACUUGACGUAGACCCGAAACCGGGCGACCUACCCAUGAGCAGGAUGAAGCGAAAGUAAAAUUUCGUGGAGGUCCGAACCCACGAGCGUUGAAAAGCUCGGGGAUGACUUGUGGGUAGCGGUGAAAUUCCAAUCGAGCCCGGAGAUAGCUGGUUCUCCCCGAAAUAGCUUUAGGGCUAGCCUCAAGGUGAGAGAUACGGAGGUAGAGCACUGAAUGUCCUAGGGGGUAUUGCACCUACCGAAGACUAUCAAACUCCGAAUGCCGUCAUCUUAUACUUGGGAGUCAGACUGUGGGUGAUAAGAUUCAUAGUCGAAAGGGCAACAGCCCAGAUCGUCAGCUAAGGUCCCUAAAUGUAAGUUAAGUGGUAAAGGAUGUGGGAUUGCACAGACAACCAGGAUGUUGGCUUAGAAGCAGCCACUCAUUCAAAGAGUGCGUAAUAGCUCACUGGUCGAGUGAUCCUGCGCCGAAGAUUUCCGGGGCUAAAACUUACUACCGAAGCUACGGCAUCAGUAAUGAUGGGUAGGGGAGCUUCCCAUACGGGUUGAAGCAUGACCGUAAGGACAUGUGGACAGUAUGGGAGUGAGAAUGUUGGCAUGAGUAGCGAGAUGUGGGUGAGAAUCCCACAGGCCGUAAACCCAAGGUUUCCAGGGGAAGGUUCGUCCGCCCUGGGUUAGUCGGGACCUAAGCUGAGGCCGAAAGGCGUAGGUGAUGGACAACAGGUUGAUAUUCCUGUACUACCGAUAACCGUUUGAGAGAAGGGAUGACACAGUAGGAUAAGCUAAGCACACUGUUGGUUAUGUGUGCCCAAGCAUUGAGGCAGUCAAAGUAGGCAAAUCCGCUUUGAUAAUGCUGGGAUGUGAUGGGGAGCGAAAUUUAGUAGCGAAGUAGCUGAUUUCACACUGUCAAGAAAAGUCUCUAUCGAGGUUAAAGGUACCCGUACCGCAAACCGACACAGGUGGGUGAGGAGAGUAUCCUAAGGCCAGCGAGAGAACUGUUGUUAAGGAACUCGGCAAAAUGACCCCGUAACUUAGGGAUAAGGGGUGCCACCAUCAGGUGGCCGCAGAGAAUAGGCCCAAGCGACUGUUUACCAAAAACAUAGGUUUCUGCUAAGUCGCAAGACGAUGUAUAGGAGCUGACGCCUGCCCGGUGCUGGAAGGUUAAGGGGAUCUGUUAGAGCAAUCGAAGCAGUGAACUUAAGCCCCAGUAAACGGCGGCCGUAACUAUAACGGUCCUAAGGUAGCGAAAUUCCUUGUCGGGUAAGUUCCGACCCGCACGAAAGGCGUAACGAUUUGGGCACUGUCUCAACAACAGACUCGGUGAAAUUGUAAUUCCGGUGAAGAUGCCGGAUACCUGCGACAGGACGGAAAGACCCCAUGGAGCUUUACUGUAGCUUGACAUUGGGUCUUGGUACUACAUGUACAGGAUAGGUGGGAGGCUUUGAAACCAGGACGCCAGUUUUGGCGGAGCCAUCCUUGGGAUACCACCCUUGUAGUACUGGGACUCUAACCAUAGGCCAUGAAUCUGGUCUUGGGACACUGUCAGGUGGGCAGUUUGACUGGGGCGGUCGCCUCCCAAAAGGUAACGGAGGCGCUCAAAGGUUCUCUCAGUACGGUCGGAAAUCGUACGUAGAGUGUAAAGGCAAAAGAGAGCUUGAUUGCAAGACAUACAGGUCGAGCAAGGAUGAAAAUCGGACUUAGUGAUCCGGUGGUUCUGCGUGGAAGGGCCAUCGCUCAACGGAUAAAAGCUACCCUGGGGAUAACAGGCUUAUCUCCCCCAAGAGUCCACAUCGACGGGGAGGUUUGGCACCUCGAUGUCGGCUCAUCACAUCCUGGGGCUGUAGUAGGUCCCAAGGGUUGGGCUGUUCGCCCAUUAAAGUGGUACGCGAGCUGGG
rnacentral:rRNA from 1 species